rfam:Hordeum vulgare subsp. vulgare, WGS project CAJW01000000 data, contig: morex_contig_49008
GCUCUACUUUCUCCGUCCGAAAAUACUUGUCUUAAAAUAUACAAAAUAAAUGUAUCUAUAACUAAAAUAAGUUUACAUACAUCUAUUUUUAAAACAAGUAUUUUCGGACGGAGGGAGUACGUU